rnacentral:rRNA from 1 species
UGUAUGAACGGCCCCAUGAGGGCCUAACUGUCUCCCUUGGCCACUCAAUGAACCUGAUCUCCCAGUACAAAAGCUGGGAUAAACCCACAAGACGAGAAGACCCCGUGGAGCUUAAGACCCACCACUAUCAAACCCAUAGUGCCUCUCUUCAGUUGGGGCGASUGCGGAAAAAACAAAACCUCCACGCACACCACAACGGUCAACACACCACCGUAUCAAGCACAUGACCCAGUAAAACUGAUUAACGAACCAAGUUACCCCGGGGAUAACAGCGCCAUCCUCUUUUAGAGCCCCUAUCGCCAAGAGGGUUUACGACCUCGAUGUUGGAUCAGGACCCCCAGGUGGUGCAGCCGCUACCAAUGGUUCGUUUGUUCAACGAUUAA